ACGCGCGCGCACGCCCGCGCGAGCGCGCGUGACAGAGGCGUGCGGGCGCAUCGAUCGCAUCAGAGUGAAUUCGGUCCAAGUUUGACAUUUCCGGCCGUCUCGGCGCUUAAUAUGAAUAAAAUAAACAAUGCGUUGCCUGACCCCAGCGGCACGACGCACUUAAGGCAAACAGCUGUGAAGCGAGCGAUCAAUGCAAUGCGUACUCUGCUUUGCGGGGGUGGUGGUGGUGGUGCGGCGCGAACGGGCCCCCGUGUCUGCCGGGCGCAUCAAGCUAGGUUGACCCGGGGAAGGAUAAAUUUGGACUUGAACCUUAUGCCGGAGACGCCUUGCAGCACCGCUGUGUAUUCGCACAGAACCGGGGCAAAGUUGGGAGAGCCAUCGGCUCCACGCGAGCCUUGGGGCUGCGCGCAUUCGCAGGCAGCUGCGACCUUGGUUCCCACAUCAUCGUCGUCAUCAUCGCGAUCCAUGGGCAGAUAGCCCGUGGUAGGCGUCCACUGCGCGUGUCGCUUGUUAUUGUUGUUGAAAUUGUUUCCACUUUCAUCUGUCUUGUGCCAAAAUGCUCAAGUAGUGCAACAUGCUCCUGGCACCAAUAUCUUGUGAUGCCGUCGCCUAAGCCGUUCUCUUGACGAAUGGGCGGACGGUGGACUUCUCCACAAAAUCUGGCUGUCUGCCUGAUGAAGCUAGUUGUAAUCGCUGGCGAAACGUCGUACUCAGAUUGCAAAUGUUGUGGCUUGGCUCUCCGACACACAACGGUGGUGCUGUACUAGUGACCAAUUGGCCACGUUCUGUUCAAGUGACACUCCUUACUAAGUGGCCGUGUCGGAUGGUGGCGCGUUUGACGACACAUUUAUAUAUUUACGCGAUUUAACCCAAACACAAAAAAAAACAACGGUAUCAUGGAUGAUAUUGGUCGCGAAAACCCGCGUGUUAAACCAAAGCCAUUCUUUGUUCGGUCUCCCUCUCUUCUCCGGUUUUAAGUCUUCAUUCGCCAUUCUCAUCAUCUUCGUAGUCUCGGAAUUCGCCUGCUUUUUCCCUGAUGGUGUCGUCGCUGCUGCUGCUGCUGCUCAUUUUUCUCGGCCCAAAUCCCGGCGACUCGGUUGGGGACGCGGACGGUGUUGAUCCGGGCGACGUUCAAGCCGCUAUCCUUCGUCAGGAGAAGAAUAACGCCUCGGACGUGGCCCCGGGUGAACACUCAUGAGGAAUGAAAGUCGCCCUUCUGUGAAUGUGGCGAGGCGUGAUCUGUUCUCCACGUCAUCGGCCACUGCCCCUUUGUGUGCAUCCGCACGAGGUACCAACGAGUAUAGCGAUGGUGCAGUAGGCGGUGCGUGUAGGAGGUUCGAACGCUCCGAGGCAUCGUGAGUUACAUCAUCAGUAACUCCCGAUGCAUUGGACUAGAUGAUCAACACAACGCUGUGAUGUGUCAUCACGUGCUUGUCACAUGCCAUACGAAAAGGAGAGGGAUCGAGUCUUGGCACAAUAAUCACCACAUCAAACCAGAUUGGCCAAGGGAACUCAAGUUGGUUGUUUGUUCACAUUUACGGCCGGGCCCUUCGUAACACCUCCCCAGCGCCUUCACGCCGACAUUUACAAGCUGGACGAGCCCACUGCGUUCAGCGAGCCCGAACAUUCGUGCGUUGGAGUCGAUAGCCCGGGGGGGGGGUGGGAGUUGGGGACGUUGCGAGUGAUUCCGCGAAGACGCAGAGAGAGGUCGUUAGCAGCUGCUGACGCAGGGCGGCCAACGUCGGCCAUCUGAUGGGACAUCUGCUGCGUCUCUUGUCUCCCACGCCCACCCCACCCACGUCUCCGCUGCGCGAGGGGCGCCUUGUGGUUGGAAUUGAAUUCCUCUCGCGACGACUGCCGUGGGUUGAGUGCCCCCGCGAACUCCACUCGGCCGAUUCCUCCAGCCGUGUUGAGGACUCGGUCUUUACCAGACGCUCACAGCGUCAUCCAGACAGAGUUCAACCACCACUACCACCACCAUCAUCACCACACUGCAGGUUCCAGAUCGACCUUCUGAUUACAGUCGAUGGCUGCAUGCAGCGGCAGCAGCAACAGCAGCAGCAACAGCAGCAGCAACAGUGGCCAUGUCCUCGAUGUCGGGGAUGGGGAUUAAACAAAUAAUAAAACUGUCCCUGAAGCCAUCGUGGGGUCAGCUGUAGUUUUUUUGUUGUUUAAAGCCACGCGCCAAGACAUCCGAAUGGGACCUUGUCAACUUAUCGUGCGGAAGAUAAUUCUGUUAAAUUAUGGAAGGGACGAGAGAGGCGCCUGGGGGUCUUUUUUCCAGCAUGGAUCAGCGGCAUCGCGAGAUCCGCACCACUUGACAAAGUUCAUCGCUGGGUCACGGA